rnacentral:rRNA from 1 species
AUACGGAGGAUGCGAGCGUUAUCCGGAUUUAUUGGGUUUAAAGGGUGCGUAGGCGGGCUGUUAAGCGUGAGGUGAAAGCUCGGGGCUCAACCCCGGAACUGCCUCGCGAACUGGCGGUCUUGAAUGUCCGUGCCGUGGGAGGAAUGUGUGGUGUAGCGGUGAAAUGCAUAGAGAUCACACAGAACACCGAUUGCGAAGGCAUCUCACGAAGGGGUUAUUGACGCUGAGGCACGAAAGCGUGGGGAUCAAACAGGAUUAGAUACCCUGGUAGUCCACGCAGUAAACGAUGAUAACUAACCGCUGGGGUGUAAAUUUCAGAGGCCAAGCGAAAGCGAUAAGUUAUCCACCUGGGGAGUACGACCGCAAGGUUGAAACUCAAAUGAAUUGGCGGGG